rnacentral:rRNA from 1 species
CCUACGGGAGGCAGCAGUGAGGAAUAUUGGUCAAUGGCCGGGAGGCUGAACCAGCCAAGUCGCGUGAGGGAAGACGGCCCUACGGGUUGUAAACCUCUUUUGUCAGGGAGCAAGGUGCAGGUCGGGACCUGCUGUGAGGGUACCUUACGAAUAAGCAUCGGCUAACUCCGUGCCAGCAGCCGCGGUAAUACGGAGGAUGCGAGCGUUAUCCGGAUUUAUUGGGUUUAAAGGGUGCGCAGGCGGAGGCACAAGUCAGCGGUAAAAUCGCGGGGCUCAACCCCGCUCCGCCGUUGAAACUGUGGGCCUAGAGAGCGCGAAGGGUAGGCGGAAUGCGUGGUGUAGCGGUGAAAUGCUUAGAUAUCACGCAGAACACCGAUCGCGAAGGCAGCCUACCGAAGCGCAACUGACGCUGAUGCACGAAAGCGUGGGUAUCAAACAGGAUUAGAUACCCCAGUAGUC